CAGUCGCCACGGGAAUACGAAGGGGGCUAGCGUUGUUCGGAUUUACUGGGCGUAAAGGGUGCGUAGGCGGAUUGUUAAGUCAGGGGUGAAAUCCCGAGGCUCAACCUCGGAACUGCCUUUGAUACUGGCGAUCUUGAGUCCGGGAGAGGUGAGUGGAACUGCGAGUGUAGAGGUGAAAUUCGUAGAUAUUCGCAAGAACACCGGUGGCGAAGGCGGCUCACUGGCCCGGAACUGACGCUGAGGCACGAAAGCGUGGGGAGCAAACAGGAUUAGAUACCCGUGUAGUCCCUGUCUCUUAUAC
rnacentral:rRNA from 1 species